CCCAAAGGGGGACGACCUGUUAAGUCAGGAGCCAUCACAGGUGCUGCAUGGCUGUCGUCAGCUCGUGCCGUGAGGUGUUGGGUUAAGUCCCACAACGAGCGCAACCCUUAUUGCCAGUUGAUUUCUCUGGCGAGACUGCCCCCAGAAAGGGGAGGAAGGUGGGGAUGACGUCAAGUCAGCCAUCGCCUUAUGCCUUGGGUUACACACACGCUACAAUGGGUGGUAUAGUAGGCAGCGAUAGAGCGAUCUGGAGCUAAUCCUAAAAGCCAUCCUCAGUUCGGAUUGCUGGCUGAAACCCGCCAGCAUGAAGUCGGAGUUGCUAGUAACCGCGUAUCAGCAUGGCGCGGUGAAUACGUUCUCGAGUCUU
rnacentral:rRNA from 1 species